ACUACGGGUGGCAGCAGUGGGGGAUAUUGCACAAUGGGGGGAACCCUGAUGCAGCGACGCCGCGUGGGUGAAGGAGCGUUUCGGCGCGUAAAGCCCUAUCGGCAGGGAAGAAGGAGGACGGUACCUGACUAAGAAGCCCCGGCUAACUACGUGCCAGCAGCCGCGGUACUACGUAGGGGGCAAGCGUUAUCCGGAUUUACUGGGUGUAAAGGGGGCGCAGACGGCAGCGCAAGCCAGGAGUGAAAGCCCGGGGCCCAACCCCGGGACUGCUCUUGGGACUGCGCGGCUGGAGUGCAGGAGGGGCAGGCGGAAUUCCUGGUGUAGCGGUGAAAUGCGUAGAUAUCAGGAGGAACACCGGUGGCGAAGGCGGCCUGCUGGACUGCGACUGACGUUGAGGCCCGAAAGCGUGGGGAGCAAACAGGAUUAGAUACCCCAGUAGUC
rnacentral:rRNA from 1 species